UACUGUAAACAGCAACCCAGUUGAUCGAAACUGCAACCAGCUAUACGAAGGAUGGACUAUUAUGGAAAAUGAAUGCACUUUUAGAGAAGACAUUGAUAAUUGUCAGAAUCCUACUAUGUUUAGUAGUUUAGAGGAUUGUCAGUUGGAGCUAUAUGGGCUUGGGAAUUACUGCUCUCUACCUGACGUGUGUAACCAUGGUUUUUGUGUUUCUACAAGAACGUGGAAUGGAUUACCUUCAUACAAAUGUUUCUGUGGUGGAACUGGGUUUUAUGGAAAGAAGUGUGAAAUCCGGUGUCCACGUCGACGAAUGUUUCCAAGACCAAGGAGCUUUCCUAUAUCAUGUAUACAGAUUUAAGGAUAUCAACAAAGAUAUAAUCGGCUUUUUUAUACAUGCUAUAAUACUGUAUAAUAAAUCACUGAAUGGAUAAUG